AUGUAAGAAGUUGCACUUCCCCAAUGCUACCUUACAGAGAAAGCCACAGGUAGAAGUUCCAACCAGCGGUCCUGGCUGAGCCCUCUCUUCCAGUUUUCUCCACCAAGGUGCUAGCUGCCAACAGGUCAUCCAUCCCCCUACCUCCUCAAAAAUGAAGGUGUCUUCCCACUGAAUGAAGACAGAGCUUAACACAACAUCUGUGAUCUAUGCCUUUGGACGGAAGGAGAUCUGGACUAAGGAUCAAACAGAUGAAGUCACCCAUGGAGCUACAACUUCCAAGAUGGAGUUCAAGAUACAAACAAAAUGUCACUGAAUACCGGGAAGACACGUACAGUAUCAGAUCAUCAUAUACUGUUUUUACCUUAAGAGCAGAGGUUGGAUGUAUAACCAGCGCUCUUCAUUCUUGGGAACAAUCUCAGCCUCCUAUGGACUCUGCAGCCCCGUGAGCUUAUCUAAGGUUCUAGACCUGCACCGAGGCACAGCUGGACAAUCUCAGUCCUCAUCCACGGGGUCAAGGACUGUCCACUAAGCUUCCUGUAUGAUCAAGCACAGAAGAGUCAGGAAGUCCCAAAGGAGAGGAGGAAGCAAAGGAAUGACCAGAGUGUGCCCAGUUCCUUCCUCCAAAACGCAGCAUCACAGAAGUCAUUAUUCCUUUCAUGGGGAGAAGAGAGUAAAAGGCAACUGCCAUUGAACUGAGAGCAUCCCUGCCUCCUGAUCCUGAUCAGCUUCAAGAGGGAACAUCAUGAAGAAGCAAAGAACAAAGGAGGGUCUUUUCCUUCUCUCCCCACUACCCCCAGCCAGCCAGAGCACCCAAACCAACACCAGUGACCACAGGGACGAAACACGUGGCAACUUCACCCCCACCCCAUCAUCAUUUAAGAGCACAGUAGGGAAGAGCCAAUGUCUUCAUUUUCAUCACUUACAUGCUAUUUAAAUUCCACUUUCACUGUCUAUACCAAGCCAAGGAUUCACUUCCUUGCUGACAAUAAUCACAGAAUCCAUUCUUCUGGCAUUUUGAUUAAGCUAAGAGUCAUCUACCAUUUAGAAAAAGUACGAUAAGUUAGAAUUGUGUUUCUAAAGUCUAUUUAUAACAAGCUAUUUCAUCACCAACUUCUCCAGCUUUAGGCAAUCAAUUUCCUUCUCAGCAAACUCAAUUACUCAUUAUCAUCUUCAAAAACAGAUUUGUAUUGAGUAGACACAGAACUUGAGUUGAAAAGACUCCCAAUACUAGAUCAAUAAAGAAAUCACAUUCUUCUCCCAGCCCCACCAGGCAGUGCAUUCUCAAAUCCCAGGGAGCUCCAUCUUACAUAAUUUAGUAGUAUUCUAUAAUAAUAAAAGAAGUCAGAGGAGGGAGGGAGGGAGAAAAACCACUACCAUAUCACUCCCUAAAAGGCUGCGUCCUGACAUCUACACACUUGGAAAAGAUUACAAGCCCAAAAAACGUCCGUGAGGUUUCAAGAUGGCUGCCACGGCUUCCAGAGGGAAACGGCAGAGCAAACAAAGGCAGAAAAGGAUUUUCUUAAUGGGUCUGACGUUAUCAAGGAGGACAUUUUCUGCAGCUGUAGUCCAACACCCUUUGGAUUUCAUUGGUCAGGAGUGGGUCGUGAUGAGUACUGGCUCAAAGGGACCUGGGAAAUCCAACAUGGCAUUUUCAACCUUUGGUGUAGCAGACAGGCAAAGAGGAAGGGGACUGGGAACAGCUGCUGUGUGGGCCACAAACAUCUAACGCAGAGUAUAAACUUUUAGGGAUCAGCUAUUGCAUAUUUUUAUUUGCUCUCUGUGUUUUAUAAUAAAACAAAAAAUACAUGAAAA